rnacentral:rRNA from 1 species
CCGGUUCAUCGGCGUAGGGUGAGUCGGCUCCUAAGGCGAGGCAGAAAUGCGUAGUCGAUGGGAAACAGGUCAAUAUUCCUGUACCGAUUCUAGAUGCGAUGUGGGGACGGAGAAGGUUAGGUCAGCCGGGUGUUGGACGUCCCGGUUUAAGCGUGUAGGCGUGCCCCUUAGGCAAAUCCGGGGGGCUGAGCUGAGGCGUGAUGACGAGGAACCACGGUUCCGAAGUGAUUGAUACCAAGCUUCCAGGAAAAGCCACUAAGCUUCAGUCUAGAGUUGACCGUACCGCAAACCGACACAGGUGGGCAGGAUGAAAAUUCUAAGGCGCUUGAGAGAACUCAGGAGAAGGAACUCGGCAAAUUAACACCGUAACUUCGGGAGAAGGUGUGCCCCGGUAGCGUGUAGAGACUUGCUCUCGAAGCGCGAUGGGGUUGCAGUGAAAUGGUGGCUGCGACUGUUUAAUAAAAACACAGCACUCUGCAAACACGAAAGUGGACGUAUAGGGUGUGACGCCUGCCCGGUGCCGGAAGGUUAAGUGAUGGGGUGCAAGCUCUUGAUCGAAGCCCCGGUAAACGGCGGCCGUAACAAUAACGGUCCUAAGGUAGCGAAAUUCCUUGUCGGGUAAGUUCCGACCUGCACGAAUGGCGUAACGAUGGCCACACUGUCUCCUCCUGGGACUCAGCGAAGUUGAAAUGUUUGUGAAGAUGCAAUCUACCCGCGGCUAGACGGAAAGACCCCAUGAACCUUUACUGUAGCUUUGCAUUGGACUUUGAACCGGUUUGUGUAGGAUAGGUGGGAGACUGUGAAGCCGGGACGCUAGUUUCGGUGGAGUCAACCUUGAAAUACCACCCUGAUUUGUUUGAGGUUCUAACCUUGGUCCGUGAAUCCGGAUCGGGGACCGUGCAUGGUAGGCAGUUUGACUGGGGCGGUCUCCUCCCAAAAGGUAACGGAGGAGUACGAAGGUACGCUUAGGGCGGUCGGACAUCGCCCACAAAGUGCAAUGGCAAAAGCGUGCUUGACUGCGAGACCCACGAGUCGAGCAGGUACGAAAGUAGGUCAUAGUGAUCCGGUGGUUCUGUAUGGAAGGGCCAUCGCUCAACGGAUAAAAGGUACUCUGGGGAUAACAGGCUAAUUCCUCCCAAGAGUUCAUAUCGACGGGGGAGUUUGGCACCUCGAUGUCGGCUCAUCACAUCCUGGGGCUGUAGUCGGUCCCAAGGGUAUGGCUGUUCGCCAUUUAAAGUGGUACGCGAGCUGGGUUUAAAACGUCGUGGGACAGUUUGGUCCCUAUCUGCCGUGGGCGCUGGAAAUUUGAAGGGGGCUGCUCCUAGUACGAGAGGACCGGAGUGGACGAACCUCUGGUGUACCGGUUAUGACGCCAGUCGUAUCGCCGGGUAGCUAAGUUCGGAAGAGAUAAACGCUGAAAGCAUCUAAGCGUGAAACUCGCCUUAAGAUAAGAUUUCCCGGAGUCUUGAACUCCCUGAAGGGUCGUCGAAGACCACGACGUUGAUAGGUCAGGUGUGGAAGCGCAGCAAUGCGUUAAGCUAACUGAUACUAAUUGCCCGUGCGGCUUGAUCCU